rnacentral:rRNA from 1 species
CCUACGGGAGGCAGCAGUGAGGAAUAUUGGUCAAUGGACGAGAGUCUGAACCAGCCAAGUAGCGUGAAGGCUGACUGCCCUAUGGGUUGUAAACUUCUUUUAUAUGGGAAUAAAAUGUUCCACGUGUGGGCUUUUGUAUGUACCAUAUGAAUAAGGAUCGGCUAACUCCGUGCCAGCAGCCGCGGUAAUACGGAGGGUCCGAGCGUUAUCCGGAUUUAUUGGGUUUAAAGGGAUCGGAGGUGGAUUGUUAAGUCAGUUGUGAAAGUUUGCGGCUCAACCGUAAAAGUGCAGUUGAAACUGGCAGUCUUGAGUACAGUAGAGGUGGGCGGAAUUCGUGGUGUAGCGGUGAAAUGCUUAGAUAUCACGAAGAACUCCGAUUGCGAAGGCAGCUCACUGGACUGCAACUGACACUGAGGCUCGAAAGUGUGGGUAUCAAACAGGAUUAGAGACCCCAGUAGUC